rnacentral:miRNA from 1 species
GAGCUGUCCAGGCUGUGAGGG